rnacentral:rRNA from 1 species
UACGAAGGGUCCAAGCGUUAUCCGGAUUUACUGGGUUUAAAGGGUGCGUAGGUGGUCAGAUCAGUCAGUGGUGAAAUCCUACAGCUCAACUGUAGAACUGCCAUUGAAACUUUCUGACUUGAGUAUAGUUGAGGCGGGUGGAAUGUAUCAUGUAGCGGUGAAAUGCUUAGAUAUGAUACAGAACACCGAUUGUGAAGGCAGCUCGCUAAACUAUUACUGACACUGAGGCACGAAAGCGUGGGUAUCGAACAGGAUUAGAUACCCUGGUAGUCCACGCCCUAAACUAUGAACACUAGACGUGUGCCGCUUAGCGGUACGUGUCCAAGCGAAAGCGUUAAGUGUUCCACCUGGGGAGUACGGCCGCAAGGUUAAA